rnacentral:rRNA from 1 species
GUUAACACGUGGGUGAUCUGCCCUGCACUUCGGGAUAAGCUUGGGAAACUGGGUCUAAUACCGGAUAGGAACCAUCUUUAGUGUGGUGGUUGGAAAGUUUUUUCGGUGUAGGAUGAGCUCGCGGCCUAUCAGCUUGUUGGUGGGGUAAUGGCCUACCAAGGCGGCGACGGGUAGCCGGCCUGAGAGGGUGUACGGCCACAUUGGGACUGAGAUACGGCCCAG